UACGUAGGGUGCAAGCGUUGUCCGGAUUUAUUGGGCGUAAAGAGCUCGUAGGCGGUUGGGUAAGUCGGGUGUGAAAACUCCAGGCUCAACUUGGAGAUGCCACCCGAUACUGCUCUGACUUGAGUUCGGUAGGGGAGUGGGGAAUUCCUGGUGUAGCGGUGAAAUGCGCAGAUAUCAGGAGGAACACCGGUGGCGAAGGCGGGUCUCUGGGCCGAUACUGACGCUGAGGAGCGAAAGCGUGGGGAGCGAACAGG
rnacentral:rRNA from 1 species